rnacentral:lncRNA from 1 species
GUUAGACAUAUGGAUGUACUAAUCUGAAUUUGAUCAAUUAGAUAUCAUAUCUAUUGAUUUAUAAGAGAUCUAAAUCUAAAUCUUCUCACUAAAUAUUAAGUCUAGAGGUCUUCCAUCAUUGUAGAGAUGUGGGUGCCUUCCUACUGUUGAUCAUUGUCGACUGGUUACAGUGGUUCGGUUGGAUCGAGAAGAUACAAUCAUUCUAUUGAUAUUUGAUGCCUUGGGGUAGAGAUGGGAUUGGGCUCAAUAACUAUUAGGUGAGGGUCUCAACAAUAAUUUUGCAUCCAUUGGUGAAUGAUGGGUCUAACUUAACUAAGAAAUGUGCCAAUAACUGUAGGUGAGGCCAU